rnacentral:rRNA from 1 species
AUUGAACGCUGGCGGCAGGCCUAACACAUGCAAGUCGAGCGGAUGAGAAGAGCUUGCUCUUCGAUUCAGCGGCGGACGGGUGAGUAAUGCCUAGGAAUCUGCCUGGUAGUGUGGGACAACGUUUCGAAAGGAACGCUAAUACCGCAUACGUCCUACGGGAGAAAGCAGGGGACCUUCGGGCCUUGCGCUAUCAGAUGAGCCUAGGUCGGAUUAGCUAGUUGGUGAGGUAAUGGCUCACCAAGGCGACGAUCCGUAACUGGUCUGAGAGGAUGAUCAGUCACACUGGAACUGAGACACGGUCCAGACGCCUACGGGAGGCAGCAGUGGGGAAUAUUGGACAAUGGGCGAAAGCCUGAUCCAGCCAUGCCGCGUGUGUGAAGAAGGUCUUCGGAUUGUAAAGCACUUUAAGUAGGGAGGAAGGGCAGUAAGUUAAUACCUUGCUGUUUUGACGUUACCGACAGAAUAAGCACCGGCUAACUCUGUGCCAGCAGCCGCGGUAAGAC